rnacentral:rRNA from 1 species
UACGUAGGGGGGCUAGCGUUGUCCGGAUUUAUUGGGCGUAAAGAGCGUGUAGGCGGCCAGGUAGGUCUGGUGUGAAAACUCGAGGCUUAACCUCGAGAUGUCAUCGGAAACCAUUUGGCUAGAGUCCGGAAGAGGAGAGUGGAAUUCCUGGUGUAGCGGUGAAAUGCGCAGAUAUCAGGAAGAACACCAAUGGCGAAAGCAGCUCUCUGGGACGGUACUGACGCUGAGACGCGAAAAGCGUGGGGAGCGAACAGG